GCCUUCUCCAUGCUCGGAAUAACUUCCUGCAGCGACCAACAGGCUAAAGAGGGGGAAGGGAUCCAGCACCGGCUCCUCCUCCGGCAACCACGGUGGGAGCGGCGGAGGAAAUGGACAUAAACCCGGGUGUGAAAAGCCAGGGAAUGAAGCCCGCGGGAGCGGGGAAUCUGGGAUUCAGAAUUUUAAAUCCAAGCUGGGUUUCAUCAACUGGGAUGCCAUAAACAAGGACCAGAGAAGCUCUCGCAUCCCGUGACCUCCAGACAAGGAGCCACCAGAUUGGAUGGGAGCCCCCACACUCCCUCCUUAAAACACCACCCUCUCAUCACUAAUCUCAGCCCUUGCCCUUGAAAUAAACCUUAGCUGCCCCACA
rnacentral:lncRNA from 1 species